UUGGUGGGAAUUGUAGUGCGAAGCCAAGAGGCUCCCCCCUCCCCCCCUUCCCCCCUGCCCCAAGUGCUUAGACCGAAGGCGGCGCUGCGCCACCGGGGGACGCCCUGGGCUCAUUUCUCUGACAGUCCUUCUACUAGGUAGGUGUAGGAUUACGAAGAGGAAGGCCUGAGAGGAAACAAGCAUUUUGUGAAUCCCUCCUUCCAAUAUGGAGAAAAUCCCACAAUGAAGUGCAUUGAGGCUGGGGCUAUUUCUCAUUCAUCUUUUUAUCUCUGGCACAGUGCCUGGCCCUGUGCUUCAUUUUCCUUGUCAACAAAAUGGGGAUAAUCACAUCUACCUUGGAAUUGUUAUGAGGAUCACAUGGAGAAACACAAGUGAAAUGCUCUGUAGAUAUAAAGCAUGUAUCAACGAUGAUCUUUCUCCCUGUUUCUCCACAUACAUAGAGAUAAAGAGGUCCCAAUUACAAGGUGGGAGAACCUGGAACAAGAAGGGAAUGAUCUGUACCUUUAAAAAGAGAAAAGGGGAGAAAAGAUGGAUUUUCUGAAUCACAUUCUGUGAGGAAUUCAAAUCUCUUGGAAGAACAGGAGAGAUACCCUUUUCAUCAAGUGGCCUGAUGAGGGAAGGUCACCUGGCGUGGAGCAGAAGAACUAUGAUGGCCUGUGGAGGCCCGCAGUGUGCUUCGGGAGGGCUGCAUGCUGCAGCCUUUCCCUCUGCUUCCAUAUGACUCUUCCAGGAGAGAUGGGUCAGUGAUGAGCGCAGCUAUGCCCAGUCCUAAGAGGGGUACUUUUCAGGGCUAAUGGUAGCCUUACUUUGACUUUCUCUUUUCCCUUUCUAAGGUAGCUGCUGACAUCUAAAAUUCUCAAAGUACAGAGGAGGAGUUCCUGGCCUCCACUUCCAUUCAAAAACCAUCCUGUGCAGAGGCCACUUCUUAUCUAGGACAUGCCAAUCUGCUGAAAGCAGGGAAAACUUGGUUUCAUAGCACGGUGAAGCAAAUCACCUCCAUGAGUAUCCAAUAUUCUCCAUAAACAGGUUUGAAAAGA
rnacentral:lncRNA from 1 species